rnacentral:rRNA from 1 species
UACAGAGGAUGCAAGCGUUAUCCGGAAUGAUUGGGCGUAAAGCGUCUGUAGGUGGCUUUUUAAGUCCGCCGUCAAAUCCCAGGGCUCAACCCUGGAAUGCCGGUGGAUACUGUCGGGCUAGAGUCCGGAAGGGGCGAGUGGAAUUCCUGGUGUAGCGGUGAAAUGCGCAGAUAUCAGGAGGAACACCAAUGGCGAAGGCAGCUCGCUGGGACGUGACUGACGCUGAGACGCGAAAGCGUGGAGAGCAAACAGG